UAAAUUGAAUAAGAAUUAGUUAUAUUAUAUUUAUUAAAUUGAAAUCACAUUCAUUCAUUAAUUUGCUAAGAAUUGGAGUUCCUUUACGUAUUCGUAUAAUGUGCAGGAAAACAUUAAAAGAAGAAUUUUGUCAAACAUAUCUUAAAAUGAAGAGUACCUUAGAAAAAAAGUUAACAGAAAUAGAAAUAGUUGUGACAACGGCAGAUUUAUGGAACAAGCGAAAAAAAGUUACUUAGGAAUAACAAUCCAUUGGAUUAAUCCUGAUAUUCUCUCUCUCGACAAUCAGCUGCAUUAGCUUGUCGAAGGCUGAAAGGACGACAUACAUAUGACAUAUUAGCUGAUGCAAUUUACUCGAUUUUUUUGGAGUAUCAUAUUCAAAACAAAAUAUGUUGCACGACAACGGACAACGGAUCGAAUUUUGUCAAAGCCUUUCAAUAUUUUAAGAAAAGUGAAGAUGAUGAGGACUUUGAGGAAGUGUUUCAUAGUUUAAGUGAUCUUUUAAAUGUGGACGAUGUAGAAAAUUUAGAUGCAGAAAAUUUAUUAACACUUCCACCACAUCAUAGAUGUGUCAGCCACACUUUGAACCUUGUCACGGUGAAAGAUUCUGAGAAAGCUUUAGACAGCGAUGCUGUAUACAAGAAAAAACAUAGAUUGACAUUUGCCAAAUUAGUAAAAUUGUGGAAUAAACAAAACCAAUCUACACAAACAGCAGAUAAAAUAAACGAAAUUUGUCGUGUAUACUUAAAAACUCCCGUUAUUAC
rnacentral:lncRNA from 13 species